rnacentral:rRNA from 1 species
GAAAUGCGAUAAGUAAUGUGAAUUGCAGAAUUCAGUGAAUCAUCGAAUCUUUGAACGCACCUUGCGCUCCUUGGUAUUCCUCGGAGCAUGCCUGUUUGAGUAUCAUGAAAUCUUCAAAAUAAAUCUUUUGUUCACUCAAAUCGAUUUUAUUUUGGACUUGGAGGCUUGCAGAUUCACGUCUGCUCCUCUUAAAUUUAUUAGCUGGAUCUCGGUGAGCUCGGUUCCACUCGGCGUGAUAAGUAUCACUCGCCGAGGACACUGUAAAAGGUGGCCGGGAUUGCGGAUGAACCGCUUCUAAUAGUCCAUUGACUUGGACAAUAAAUACUUUAUGAUCUGAUCUCAAAUCAGGUAGGACUACCCGCUGAACUUAAGCAUAUCAAUAAGCGGAGGAAAAAGAAACUAACAAGGAUUCCCCAGUUUAAC